CUGCUGCAAAUGGCAUUCUUUGUUUCUUUUUUAUGGCUGAGAUAUAUUCCAUUGUAUAUAUGCACCAUAUCUUCUUUAUCUAUUCAUCUGUCCAUGGGCAUUUAGAAUACUUCCAUGUCUUGGCUGUUGUAAAUAGGGAUGCAAUGAACUUAGGGGUGCAUGUUUAUUUUGAAACCUAGUUUUGUCUGGGUGUAUGCUCAGAAGUGGAAUUGCUGGAUCAAAUGGCAACUCUGUUUUAGUUUUUUGAGGAACGAACAUACUGUUUUCCAUAGUGGCUGCACCAACUUACAUUCCCACCAACAGUGUAGGAGGGUCCCUUUUUCAGUUGAAUAACGUAAGAACCCAAGAUUCUGAGAGCACUUAGCAUCUAGAGAGUGGGGCCCAGCAAUCCAUAGUUUUAUUCAGUUCCUCCAGGUGAUUUUCCAUCUUUAUGGAUCCCCCCGACAAUCCCCUCCCCCCCUCCACAGUGUUGUCUAAAAAGCAUUCAUACGUCCCUUUAGCCUCUCUGAGAGUCGCCUGUGGCCCAAGCAUUGUAUACCCAAAGGCAGGAGGAGAAGGGGAAGACGAGAUGAUUGGAUGGCAUCACAGACUCGAUGGACAGGCGUUUGCGCAAGCUCCGGGAGAUGGUGAAGGACAGGGUAGCCUGGUGUGCUGCAGUCCACUGGGUCGCAAAGAGUCGGACACGACUGAGCGACUGAACACCAAAAUCCGAUGACCCCCUCAAGUCCUCUAGGGCUCUGCCUGGUCGGAUCCGCCAGGACGGGCAGAUCCGGAGUUGGGGAGGAGCCGAAAGGGAGGCGGUAAUUUGAGGUCUCCAAGAGUCCACAGGAGUGAGAAUCAGGAGAAAGCUUAGAUGGAAAAUGAUUUAGGAUUUGCUCCCAAUACUCAUUUCUGGGUUGACCCUGGUACCCAAAGUCAGAGAACGGCGGGAAGCGCCUGAGGGUUGCCCCUCGGAGGUCAAAGGGUCUAACUACUGCAGGCUCCUGAAGGGUUUAUACAGUUAAAUCAUUUUGCGGAUCAAGCCUACGCCUUAAAACGCCUUCCUUCUGGGUACCGUUCAGUUCCGACAGGGGGCGCUCUAAGGCUGCUCGGUUUCUUUCUCUCCUCUUCCACACGCACGUCUCGGUGGUUCUCGAGACCCGAAGUUGAAAGCCUGGGAGAGGCAGCCGCCAUGCCGUGUCCCCGACUCUGAGUCUUGACGCGCGAGCUUACCCGAAUGAGGGAAGCGACCGACGCGGGCCCAGUCUUCUCUCCUACCUGGACCUAAAUCCCUAUGGCUCCAUUUAGGGCUUCUUUUUAUCCUCCGGCUUUAUACUUACGGUUUUCUGGCAACCUAUUUAAGCAGAGGUCUUAUCCCAGACCUCUCCCUGGGGGCGGCCAGUCAGGAGCUCCCCCUUCGCCCCAGGCAUGGCCGUCGAGCUGGUGUCCGAGAGGGUGACCCGUAGUGAGAGAGCUCAGGACCAGAAGGGACUUUCGGGCCUUAACACCACCGUGGGUAGCUGAGUCAGCUGGCAAAAGACAUGGACUGCGGAAACCGAAAAACAAGCGAGCGUGUUUUGUUCUCUGAGCCGUGUUGGCCAUGAUUAGACUGCAGAUUGAGCAAGAAGACAGCGUUCCAAACUCGGGAAAUCAAGAAAUUUAUUUUCAUCAGUGGAUAUGAAGAAGUUACACUUAGGCAUCAAUAGCCCCAUUGGGAAGUACCUUGGGCUGAAGAUCUCAAACGUCAGAGAUUAAUUUCCAGUUUUGGUCUGUUUUUACUCUUACCGGAGAAUAGGACUUAACUAGAUAAUUUAGUUAAGUUACAGAAGUAAUUUUAUCUGAGACUGUUGCGCCCUCUAUCGGAAAGAAAUUUUCCAGACCCUGGGUCCUUGGACUAAAGCUGUUGGUGGUACCUUGUUAGAAUGCAGGAUGUCAGUUCCCCCUCAAACUUACUGAACUAGAACCAACAUUUCGACAGGAUCCCUAAGUGUUUCCUCUGCACGUUAAAAUUUGAGUCACUGGUUUGAGUGCUCCAAUGUGGGUUAAAAUGAUUAUAUAUUAUAAAUAUAUGGCUUAUUUUAUUAAUAAUUUUCCUACUUCCUAUUCUAAUGUAGUAAAAACAAUUGCAAAAAUGUAUUUCUAUUGUUGAACCAGUUUUGUAUUCUUAUGACUGACACUGUUUCCCCUCUCAUGGUAAUAUGAUAUUUACUAGUAUUUUUAAAUCAGUAUACAUAAUUGAAUUAGAUGUCAAGUUUCUUUUAAAUAAAAUGUUUUGCAGGUUUGCA